GUUCCUAUAGUUAAAGCUCAAUAACAAUGGUUUUUCAGGCCGUAGAUCUUGGAGAGAAACCAAGUAGGAAUU
rnacentral:tRNA from 1 species